GGAGGGUUCGCAUAGUGGUCUAGUGCGCACGCUUGGAAAGCGUGUAAGGGGGUAACCCCUUCGAGGGUUCAAAUCCCUCACCCUCCG
rnacentral:tRNA from 1 species